CUUAAAUUGAAGAGUUUGAUCAUGGCUCAGAUUGAACGCUGGCUGCAGUCCUAACACAUACAAGUCGAGCGGAAACUAGU
rnacentral:rRNA from 1 species